GGCAGCAGCUAAGAAUAUUCCGCAAUGGUCGAAAGACUGACGGAGCGACGCCGCGUGAAUGAUGAAGGCCGUGAGGUUGUAAAGUUCUUUUCUGGAGGGAGAAUAAGUGCAUCAGGGAAUGGGUGCAUGAUGACGUGAAUCCAGGAAUAAGCUCCGGCUAACUACGUGCCAGCAGCCGCGGUAACACGUAGGGGGCAAGCGUUGUUCGGAAUUAUUGGGCGUAAAGGGCGCGCAGGCGGCCUGGCAAGUCUGCUGUUAAAUGGUUGAGCUUAACUCAAUCAUGCGGUGGAAACUACAAGGCUAGAAUCAACGAGGGGAUGCCGGAAUUCCAGGUGUAGGGGUGAAAUCUGUAGAUAUCUGGAAGAACACCAAUGGCGAAGGCAGGCAUCUGGCGACUGAUUGACGCUGAGGCGCGAAGGUGCGGGGAGCAAACAGGUUUAGAUAUCCUGGUAGUCCGCACAGUAAACGAUGUGCACCAGGUGGCGGGCAGCAGUGCUCGGUACCGAAGCAAACGCAUUAAGUGCACCGCCUGGGGAGUAUGCUCGCAAGGGUGAAACUCAAAGGAAUUGACGG
rnacentral:rRNA from 1 species